GAUGAACGCUGGCGGCGUGCCUAAUACAUGCAAGUCGAGCGAACAGACGAGGAGCUUGCUCCUCUGACGUUAGCGGCGGACGGGUGAGUAACACGUGGAUAACCUACCUAUAAGACUGGGAUAACUUCGGGAAACCGGAGCUAAUACCGGAUAAUAUAUUGAACCGCAUGGUUCAAUAGUGAAAGACGGUUUUGCUGUCACUUAUAGAUGGAUCCGCGCCGCAUUAGCUAGUUGGUAAGGUAACGGCUUACCAAGGCGACGAUGCGUAGCCGACCUGAGAGGGUGAUCGGCCACACUGGAACUGAGACACGGUCCAGACUCCUACGGGAGGCAGCAGUAGGGACUCUUCCGCAAUGGGCGAAAGCUUGACGGAGCAACGCCGCGUGAGUGAUGAAGGUCUUCGGAUCGUAAAACUCUGUUAUUAGGGAAGAACAAAUGUGUAAGUAACUAUGCACGUCUUGACGGUACCUAAUCAGAAAGCCACGGCUAACUACGUG
rnacentral:rRNA from 1 species